UACGUAGGGUGCGAGCGUUGUCCGGAAUUAUUGGGCGUAAAGCGCGCGCAGGCGGUCCUUUAAGUCUGAUGUGAAAUCCCACGGCUCAACCGUGGAGGGUCAUUGGAAACUGGGGGACUUGAGUACAGAAGAGGAAAGCGGAAUUCCACGUGUAGCGGUGAAAUGCGUAGAGAUGUGGAGGAACACCAGUGGCGAAGGCGGCUUUCUGGUCUGUAACUGACGCUGAGGCGCGAAAGCGUGGGGAGCAAACAGG
rnacentral:rRNA from 1 species